rnacentral:rRNA from 1 species
ACGGGAGGCAGCAGUGGGGGAUAUUGCACAAUGGGGGAAACCCUGAUGCAGCGACGCCGCGUGAGGGAAGAAGGUUUUCGGAUUGUAAACCUCUGUCUUCAGGGACGAUAAUGACGGUACCUGAGGAGGAAGCCACGGCUAACUACGUGCCAGCAGCCGCGGUAAUACGUAGGUGGCAAGCGUUGUCCGGAAUUACUGGGUGUAAAGGGAGCGUAGGCGGGAAUGCAAGUUGAAUGUUUAAACUAUCGGCUCAACUGAUAGUCGCGUUCAAAACUGCGUUUCUUGAGUGAAGUAGAGGCAAGCGGAAUUCCUAGUGUAGCGGUGAAAUGCGUAGAUAUUAGGAGGAACACCAGUGGCGAAGGCGGCUUGCUGGGCUUUUACUGACGCUGAGGCUCGAAAGUGUGGGUAGCAAACAGGAUUAGAUACCCUGGUA